rnacentral:rRNA from 1 species
AUUGAACGCUGGCGGCAUGCUUUACACAUGCAAGUCGAACGGUAACAGGCCGCAAGGUGCUGACGAGUGGCGAACGGGUGAGUAAUGCAUCGGAACGUGCCCAGUCGUGGGGGAUAACUACUCGAAAGAGUAGCUAAUACCGCAUACGAUCUAUGGAUGAAAGCGGGGGACCGUAAGGCCUCGCGCGAUUGGAGCGGCCGAUGUCAGAUUAGGUAGUUGGUGGGGUAAAGGCUCACCAAGCCAACGAUCUGUAGCUGGUCUGAGAGGACGACCAGCCACACUGGGACUGAGACACGGCCCAGACUCCUACGGGAGGCAGCAGUGGGGAAUUUUGGACAAUGGGCGCAAGCCUGAUCCAGCAAUGCCGCGUGCAGGAAGAAGGCCUUCGGGUUGUAAACUGCUUUUGUACGGAACGAAACGGCUCUGGUUAAUACCCGGGGCUAAUGACGGUACCGUAAGAAUGAGCACCGGCUAACUACGUG